GGAGAUAUAGCUCAGUUGGUAGAGCAGUAGACUGUUAAUCUAUUGAUUGAAAGUUCGAAUCUUUCUAUCUCCGCCA
rnacentral:tRNA from 1 species